UCGGAUUGCAGUCUGCAACUCGACUGCAUGAAGCCGGAAUCGCUAGUAAUCGCGGAUCAGAAUGCCGCGGUGAAUACGUUCCCGGGUCUUGUACACACCGCCCGUCACACCAUGGGAGUCGGAAAUGCCCGAAGCCGGUGGCCUAACCGAUAAGGGAGGAGCCGUCGAAGGCAGGUCUGAUGACUGGGGUGAAGUCGUAACAAGGUAAC
rnacentral:rRNA from 1 species